rnacentral:tRNA from 1 species
AGUUAAUUAGCUUAUAAAAGCCUAUAUUUUGAAAGUAUAAGAAAAAGGUUGAAUCCUUUAUUAACUU